rnacentral:rRNA from 2 species
UACGUAGGCAGCAAGCGUUGUUCGGAAUUACUGGGCGUAAAGAGUGUGUAGGCGGUGUCGUAAGUUUGGCGUGAAAUCUCCCGGCUUAACUGGGAGGGUGCGCCGAAGACUGCGAUGCUUGAGGGUUGGAGAGGAAAGUGGAAUUUCUGGUGUAGCGGUGAAAUGCGUAGAUAUCAGAAGGAACACCUGUGGUGUAGACGGCUUUCUGGACAACUCCUGACGCUGAGACACGAAAGCGUGGGUAGCAAACAGG